UUUUUGGAGAGUUUGAUCCUGGCUCAGAGUUAACGCUGGCGGCGUGCCUAACACAUGCAAGUCGAGCGAAGAGUGGCAGAGUAUCGCGCUCUUAGCGGCAGACGGGUGAGUAACGCUUAAACAAUCUGCCCUCGAAUGGGAGACAACCAAGCGAAAGUUUGGCUAAUACCCCAUACAAUCCUCUCCAGGCAUCUGGAGGGGAUGAAAGGCCCGCAAGGGUCGUUCGAGGAGGAGUUUAAGUCCUAUCAGCUAGUUGGCGGUGUAACAGACCACCAAGGCUAUGACGGGUAG
rnacentral:ncRNA from 1 species